UACGUAGGUGGCGAGCGUUGUCCGGAUUUACUGGGCGUAAAGAGCGCGCAGGCGGUCGUGCAAGUCGCGUGUGAAAGCCCCCGGCUCAACUGGGGAGGGUCACGCGAUACUGCUCGACUCGAAGGCAGGAGAGGGAAGUGGAAUUCCCGGUGUAGUGGUGAAAUGCGUAGAUAUCGGGAGGAACACCAGUGGCGAAGGCGACUUCCUGGCCUGUUCUUGACGCUGAGGCGCGAAAGCUAGGGUAGCAAACGGGG
rnacentral:rRNA from 1 species